ACGAACCGAGCGAACGUUGUUCGGAAUCACUGGGCUUAAAGGGCGCGUAGGCGGGCUGCCAAGUCUGCGGUGAAAUCCUCCAGCUUAACUGGAGAACGGCCGCGGAUACUGGCGGUCUCGAGGGAGGUAGGGGCAAGCGGAACUGUGCGUGGAGCGGUGAAAUGCGUUGAUAUGCACAGGAACUCCGGUGGCGAAGGCGGCUUGCUGGACCUCUUCUGACGCUGAGGCGCGAAAGCUAGGGGAGCGAACGGGAUUAGAUACCCCGGUAGUCCUAGCCCUAAACGAUGAGAACUAGGUAGUAGACUUGACUUGGGUUUACUGCCGAAGCAAAAGUGCUAAGUUCUCCGCCUGGGGAGUAUGGCCGCAAGGCUG
rnacentral:rRNA from 1 species